AUGACCGGUUCUUAUAAUGACAUCAACGUGUUUCAGCGUUCUCUGGUGUUCUCAAGGCUUGCAGAAGGCCACAACCCAGAGGUCAACUUUGAGAUCAAUGGCCACAACCACAACAAGGAAUACUACCUAGUUGAUAGUAUCUAUCCUCAGUGGUCAACUCUUGUUAAGACAAUAUACAAUCCAGAAGGAGGGAAGAGGCAGAGAUUUGUCCAAGCACAAGAGAGUGCUAGGAAGGAUGUGGAGGUGCUUUUGGUGUGCUUCAAUUUGGACGGGUUAUCGUUCGACACCAUGCUAGAAGAUGGAGCACCGAGAAGUUUUGGGAGGUGA
rnacentral:rRNA from 1 species